rnacentral:rRNA from 1 species
GCACAACGCGAAGAACCUUACCAACCCUUGACAUGUGUAUCGCGGUUCCAGAGAUGGUUCCUUCAGUUCGGCUGGAUACAACACAGGUGCUGCAUGGCUGUCGUCAGCUCGUGUCGUGAGAUGUUCGGUUAAGUCCGGCAACGAGCGCAACCCACACUUUCAGUUGCCAUCAUUCAGUUGGGCACUCUGGAAGAACUGCCGGUGAUAAGCCGGAGGAAGGUGUGGAUGACGUCAAGUCCUCAUGGCCCGUUACGGGUUGGGCUACACACGUGCUACAAUGGUGGUGACAAUGGGUUAAUCCCCAAAAGCCAUCUCAGUUCGGAUUGGGGUCUGCAACUCGACCCCAUGAAGUCGGAAUCGCUAGUAAUCGCGUAACAGCAUGACGCGGUGAAUACGUU